ensembl:lncRNA
GCCUUCCAUUUGUUGGGAGCCAGCCCAGGCUAUCAACACACUUAGGUCUUAAGACUUCACGUUUCUUUACAGAUAGUCUCUCGUGCUCAAGCUAGGCUUGAAUGGUGUAUCCUGAAACCCACAUUCUACCUCGUCUCAGUAAAAACUGAAAUCAACUUUCUGCAAACAAUGAAAGUCAUAACCCCGAGGAAGCCAUAAGUAACUAAAAAAGCAAAGUGUCCUCACAAAGUAGUGUUUGGGACCGAGAAAGCUGUGGAAUGUUCGUUGUUGGAUAUGUUAUAAGACAUCUUUGUAAUUCACAUCUAGAAAGGAGAAGAAGGCAAGGGAUAGGUGUAGUGAAGGAAGCCGAAAAGUCUCCUUUAUUCUGGUCUCACCUUCUGCUUUACACAGACAAGCUCAGUGUAGGAAUGUGGUUCAAAGACACCUAGGCAGACUCAGAGACAGCACAUACAGUUGUUAAGAAUUACUGUUGACAUCUGGAGGACCGGAGCUCUUCAGCAGAUCCAUUCCUGCGUUUAUGUUGAACCUGACUGUCUUCGCUGUACAGAUGCCCCUCACUAGUCUCCAUUCUGCCCAGCCAUUGGGUGAUCAGCGUUCAUUGACAAGGCACAGAAUAAAUGGUAAGAACUGUUUACACAAACUUGAGACAAGAGAUACUUGGUAUAAGCAUUACAAUGCCAUGUCUGGAUUGAAACAAGAUCCAGGGGCAGAGAAAACAGCAUUUAAUCUUAUUCCGAAGAGAUUUAAAAACAGACUCAUUAGGAUACCCAAGGGCAAUUUUAUUAGCAUUUGAGAGAAAGCAACAGAACGAGCUCAGAGGAGAUGAAAAGAUUGAAGAG